rfam:Myotis lucifugus cont2.6302, whole genome shotgun sequence.
GCCUGUAUGGCUCAGUGGUUGAGCAUUGACCCAUGAACCAAAAGUUCCCUGGUUCUAUUCCAGGUCAGGGCA